rnacentral:misc_RNA from 1 species
CUGAGUAUACACGCUCAUCAACCCUUGUGAACAUACCUUAAACGUUGCUUCGGCGGGAGCCCUAGGACGUCUCCGCCUCUCCGUAACAACGGUGGGCGCCCCGCCAGAGGAUACCCUAACUCUGAUUUACUACUGUUUCUUCUGAGUGACACAAGCAAAUAAUCA